AAAAUGUCGUCCCAUCGCGACGUCUGCGUUGGUUCUCGGGUGUCUGAUCGUCAAAAGGAGCUUCUGCUGGCUUUUGUGAGAGAGCAUCCACAGAUCGCGACGCUGUCGUGCCCGCUGGAGCCGUCGUUCACGAGGGAGGACCGGGACGACAUGUGGCAGGAGCUGGUAGCGCUUUUGAACGAAGUCCCUGCGCGUAACACCACAGCCUUGCCAAACUCCGAGAGCAGCAGAGCGGCACCGGAGGCGGCCAGAUUACGGGUUACCGCGGCCGCGUCGUGCUUGACAGGGACCGCGCGGGUCGACAGUAAGCGAGGCCCAGAGUUCGGGUGAUCUGAAUCGAUGGUUCCCCCAGAUCAGAGCCUGCAAGCACGUGCACUAUCUGGGGACUUCCGUCGCCUGCACCGCCAAGGUUCUUGGUCGGGAACAACUUCCGCGGCUUGCAGGUGAACUUUCACAUCUUGCACUCAAGUGUCAAUCAAGAAACUUCUUACUACUAACAGGUGAGCCCUGCUCCAGCUGCUGCUGGUGUGGCUGAAGAGGAUGUGGCCCAGGACCUUCCCCGUGCCACAACUCCUCAUGCCGCAGCUGCGAGAUGUGGGCAACCGGCAGGCCGAAGCGCUGGAGUUACUAG